CUUGGUCAUUUAGAGGAAGUAAAAGUCGUAACAAGGUCUCCGUAGGUGAACCUGCGGAGGGAUCAUUACAGAGUUAAACAACUCCUAAACCCACUGUAAAUUUACCUUUACUUGCUCCUUCGGCAGGCGGUCCCUGGGAGGGGCUGUACAUGCCUGCCGACGGGAAACAAAACUCUUGCUAUGUUCAGCAGUCUGAGUAUUUAAAAAAAAUCAAAACUUUCAACAACGGAUCUCUUGGUUCUGGCAUCGAUGAAGAACGCAGCGAAAUGCGAUAAGUAAUGUGAAUUGCAGAAUUCUACGAAUCAUCGAAUCUUUGAACGCACAUUGCGCCCAUUAGUAUUCUAGUGGGCAUGCCUGUUCGAGCGUCAUUUCAACCCUCAAGCCCAGCUUGGUGUUGGGGCUUCUAUAGCAGCUGCUAUAGGCCCUGAAGAUCAGUGGCGGGCUCGCUGUGAACCCGAGCGUAGUACUAUUCUCGUUUAGGGCUUUAUAGCGGGUUUCUAGCCGUUAAACCUCCCAAAUUUUUAAUGGUUGACCUCGGAUCAGGUAGGAAUACCCGCUGAACUUAAGCAUAUCAAUAAGCGGAGGA
rnacentral:rRNA from 1 species